AAGACUAUACUUUCAGGGAUCAUUUCUAUAGUUCGUUACUAGAGAAGUUUCUCUGAGUGUGUAGAGCACCCGAAACCACGGGGAGGAGGUGCAGCAUCCUUUCCUGAGCGUGAAGCCGGCUCUUAGUGUUGUUUCUUGCAACUACUACCAGCCAUUGAUGAUCGUUCUUGGACCUCUUUGAGGUCUAAGAGGGAGAGGAUGCAGUCUGAGUGUU